GCUGGAGAGGACAGGUCCGCAUAGGUGGCCGGCCUGCGGUGGGCUCCUGAAGAAGAACGUAGGACAGGAAUCGGCUCCUGGCAGCGGCGGUUGGAAGAUUGGGCAAGGAAACAUGGUUUUGGGGCCAGACUCUAAAGCAAAGUUAGUGGGAAGCAUAGUUCUUAGUUAAUGACAGCAGUAGCCAGCCAAGGAUGCAGGGGACAGGUGCUGCAAACUGACUUCAGGCUGUGGAUGUCUGGCUGGGAGAGAAGUACGAAACCCCGAAAGUGGUCCUUCCAGUCGUGAUCUGCCUGGGGCAGCCUGUGGUGGAGAUGGCUCUAGCCCUGGUGCCUACCAGCAUCCUGAGUGGGAGCCACAGAGCCAUGUAGACAGGCAGCUAGCACUGUGCCAGCUAUGUGGGGUUGACUGGCUCUGGGAAAAGCUGUUGGCAGUGCAGGUGGCUGGCGACAGGAUGGAGUGUGAGGCCUGGCACCAGGAUGGUGACGCAGAAGCCCGAGUGCUCAGCAGGGCUGGGGUCCUGGCUGCUCUGAGGGUGUGACUGGUGCAGACGCCUCCACAGGAGGACGCUGAGCCCUCUGGGCCACAGGAGGAUGCUGAGCCCUCUGGACCAGCGUGGAGUUGCAGAACCACGUCAGGACUACUGGGCCUAAGAUCUGAAGAGACCCCCAGGGCAGAAGCCAUUUCUUGCCCACCCCAAAUGAUGGUGACUCCAGCUUCCCAUCAGAUCUGGUGAUGAUCUGCUUCAAGUUUCAAAAGCAAGCCAAAAGGCACAUCAAACAUGAAUGAAGCCACAUCACUACUCUGUUCAGAGGUCAUCAAGAGCAUCGCAUCAGACAGCCGAAGCUCCAACCUUCAUGCACAGGCCUAUGUGACCUGACUUCCUGUCCUCCCAGUCCCUGGGCUCCUGGGCCAGGUCCUGCUUGCUCCCACAUCUGCUUGGGUCUAGCCUCCUCCCCUCACUCUGGACAGAACUGGUUCAAUGCCCAUCUCUUUCAGAGUUCCAUGAAGUCCCCACCUCACCACGUCCCUGAAAGCCCUGUGUAACUUAACUGCCUCUCCCACACAUUUUCCCGCCUUCCCUCUCUAUUCUUAUCCUUAGCACUUACCACUUCCCAACAAGUACUCAUUAGUUACUUAAUUACUGUCUUAUUAAGAAUGCAAAGUUCCUACAGGCACGGGUGUCUCUUUUCCUCACUGAUGUACCUCUAGAACUGAGCACACAGUUGGAGCUUUCUAUAUUUGCUUAGUAAAUCUGUGAAUAAAUGAAUCCUGAAGGAACGAACACAGAGGGAGCACGCUGAUUGGAGUUUAGAGACCAAGGAAGGCUGGGGGGCUCAAUUGCUAAAGAGCUUGCCUAGCUAUCGUGCACCAAGCACAGGUCCCAUCCCCAGUACCCAAUACAGUUAGUGUGGCCGUGCCUGUGUAAGCUGUCGGGUCAGACACUUCAGUGCAAGUACAUCAACCCCACAGAUGGCACUACGGCUCUGGGCUACACUUCUACCAUUUCCAGUUAGCACAUGCAUGGGGAACAGACCAUGAGAGCAUCUAAUUGUGAAUAAUCGGUCUGUCUCAUUCUGAAUUAUUUUCUUCCAAGCAUGACUGCUGUCACUCCUAGUUUGCUUGUGGCCUGGGUCACGGCAUCAAUGUGGGGGCAACGGGAUGAUGGGAACUUCAGCAUGAUGGAAGUAGCUCCAGGAAACCAUGCAAAGCCUUUCCAAUUAAGAGCAACCAUCUGCGAUGGGAUCCAACGCCCUCUUCCGGUGAAGACAGCUACA